rnacentral:rRNA from 1 species
UACGUAGGGACCAAGCGUUGUUCGGAUUUACUGGGCGUAAAGGGCGCGUAGGCGGCAUGUUAAGUCAGCUGUGAAAUCUCCGAGCUUAACUCGGAACUGUCAGCUGAUACUGAUGUGCUAGAGUGCAGAAGGGGCAAUCGGAAUUCUUGGUGUAGCGGUGAAAUGCGUAGAUAUCAGGAGGAACACCGAUGGCGAAGGCAGGUCUCUGGGCAUUAACUGACGCUGAGGAGCGAAAGCAUGGGGAGCGAACAGG